ensembl:lncRNA
GAUCCCAACAUUUUUGAAUGGUAGUAUUUUUCUAUCUUUUUAAUCAAUCAAACAAUUUGCAAGCAGCCAACAAGGUCUGUACUCACCUUUCAUACUGCUGCUAUAUUUUUAUUUCAGUAGUGCAGUUCUGUGAUUCCCUGCAUGUCCAGCGGAGGGCCACUGCAUUCCAGCCAAAACAUGUUGAUCCAACCACAUGGAAGUACACAUCUGACGUCACAUCUCCCUAGUUAAAUAUAGGAGCCGUGAUUCUAUAUUUCAGAUCUGUUCUAUAAAAUCCCCAGUGAAGCCAUAUGCAGUUAGAUUUGAGAUAAAAAAGUGCUAAUUAGAAGCAUGAUUAACUUUAGUGUAAUAGAUCCUAAUGCCAAUUAUUAAUUUAAUCGAAAUCAUCAAAACACUUUAUUUUGAAAAAAUGAUUACUGUGGCGAUGCAAUAUCACUGACUGUACAUACAUUCAAUUAAUAACAUUAUCUGAAACAUCAAAAAUCAGACAUUUGAGUCUGUGAACAUGCAACUGUCUCCUUUUCUUUUGCUUCCAGUAGAGCACACCCCCUAUCACCUAAAAAGGCAAGAGUGCAACUGCUAAACGCUACACUGUCUAAGAAUAAACCAGGCUUGCAGUGUCUAAGGUUACCUUGAAGCACCCCAGCAUUUCUCCCGUCUCACGCUCAUGUGAGGCACCAAUAACAUGGGCUAAAUUACCAGCACUUAUUUGCUGCAUCCCCUGCAAGAGCCUGAACUCCCCUGUUUACGGCCAUGCCCUAACAUCCCAUUCUCCCCCAGCCAUGAUCUCAAAUCCGGCACUUUGAAAACCCUCAUCCUGCUUUUCUCACAAGAUUGUGAGGAUUCACCUGUGGAUUAAAUGGGGACAACAAAAAAGAACAUCUUUUCCUGAGUGGGAUUUAACAUCAACUGGGUGAAACGGUCCAAAUAAGAUUGGGAUACACAAGCGAAAUCAAAGGACACUCGGCUGAAGUACCACCAUGGCUCAGGCAACUAAAGGUCCCGUGGUGAAGUCCAUCCCUCCCACUGGUGUAGCUGCCCCGGCUAGAACAGCACACACAGACUCACUUACUGCCGGGAGCCAUGGAAUUUUACGAAUCAUGAAUCGCCCGGCACAGUGGGUGGUCAUCAUCACACUUCUGAUUUCUUGGUCAAUAGCAGGUGUUGUCAUGUUUGAUUUUGUCAGUGACGAUCAGAUUGCAAGCAUCCAGGAUUUUGGCUCUGAUCCAGUGCUAGCAGUGAGCAAGGCCAUCGAAGGCAUUGAAAACUGGAUAAACCAUAUGAACGAUAUGCUUUAUGAUGCUCACGAGUACAUCACUGAAAUAAUAUUUAAUCCGAGGGAAGCUAUUAGUUUAGCAGCUGACUCAUCUGUGUCUUAUCUGUCAGGAAUAUUUAGUGCUGAUGGAGAUUCAGGAGUCACUGAAACAGUGAAAUAUGGUGGCACUGUAUUGGAUGAGGCUACAGAAUGGAUCAGAACCCCAGUGAGCUACUUAUUCCACUUGUUUGAAGACAUAUUGGAUAUAGUGAUUACUCCAGUGGAUAUGGUCACUGAAGUUGCUGUGCAAAUUUUAAGUGGGAUCAAGACCAUUAUACAAUAUAUUUCAACCAUGUUUGGGGGCAUUGAAGGGGAUACAGGCAUCACUGAAACAGUGAAACUUGGUGGUACUUUAUUGGAUGAGGUUACUGAAUGGAUCAGAUUCCCAGUGGGCUACUUAUUCCACUUAUUUGAAGGCAUCUUGGAUGUAGCAAUCAUUUAUCCAGGGGACAUUGCCACUGAAGCAGUUCUGCAAAUUUUAAGUGGGAUCAAGACCAUUUCUUCAACCAUAUUUGGAUACCUUGAAGUUUGGUUUCCCAAAAUGAGCACUGGUCCCGCAGAACUGGCUGAAAUUGUUGUAGAGAAGGCCACAGACAUAAAGACCACUGUCUCUAAUUACCUAACCAGUCUGUUUGCAGUGGAUGAAGGUGGUAUUCCUGACAUUAGCUUUGAUCCCAUGAAAGUUGUCACAGACACUGUUGAGGAGUUUGCUGACAGGAGGGAUAUGUUCUUGGCCUAUCUCUCCAACAUGGAAGACAAAGAUGACACACCGCAAGUGAUAAGACGGAAAGGAGAAUUUCUGCCCCCUAUGGAAAAAGUUCUUGAACAAGUGAAAGAAGCCAAAGAGAAAAAAGCUAGAGAGGAGAUAUACAAAAUCAUUCAAGAUAUGAGGGAAAAGAAGGCUGAAAGUAAAGAGGAAGAGAUAACACUGCAACGAAUAAACAUAACAGUAGAAAAAGUCAAGAAGAAAAAGGAGAUAGAAAAGGCUAAAAGAAAAGAAAAAUCCAAAGAGGACAAGACUCGAGAACCAACAGAAAAGGACACCAAGAAAAAAACUGAGAAAAAGGUCAAGGUGACUAAAGUGGGCGAGGAACCCCCUCUAAAAAAGAAGAAAUCUGAAGCUAAAAUGGCCAAAAAAGAGACCAAACUAGCAACAUCUAAGAAAGAGCCUCGAGUUACAAAAGAAAAGGCUAAACCAGCUCGUUCAAAGAAAGAGCCUGAGGUUUCCAAAGAGAAGGCCAAGCUGAAGCCCUCAAAGAAAGAAGCUAAAGCUCCCAAGGACAAAAUUAAACCGGCCCUUUUGAAGAAAGAGCCUGAUGUUUCUAAGGAGAAAGAAAAACCACCAACUGCAAAGAAAGAAGAAAAGCCAACAACCGCUAAAAAAGAGCCUGCAGUUGCAGAAGAGAAAGUCAAACCAGUGCCCUCAAAGAAAGAUACUAAAGCUAUUAAGGAGAAAGUGAAACCAGCCCCAGUUAAGAAAGAGCCUGAGGUUUCCAAAGAAAAAGCCAAGCCAAAACGUUUAAAGAAAGAGGCUAAAUCUGUUGAAGAGAAGGCAAAACCAGCACCAGCUAAAAAAGAGAAGGAGAAACCUCCAAAGAAAGCUGUAAAAGAAAAGCCCAAACCUGCUUCUGUAAAGAAAGAACCUAAAUUUCCAAGAGAGAAAGCAAAACCUAAACCUUCCAAAAAAGAGGCAGAAGUUGCCAAAGACAAGCAUAAACCUGUCACUGUGAAGAAAGAACCUGCUGUUGCAGUUGAAAAGGCAAAACCGAAACCUGCACCAAAGAAAGUUACCAAAGAGAAAGCUAAACCAGAACCUGCAAAGAAAGAACCUGAGAUAACCAAAGAAAAACCGAGAGCACCAAAGAGAAAGGCUCAAGUUAUUAAGGAGGAAGCUAAACCAGCUCCUGCAAAAAAAGUCUUCAAAGAUGUUAAACCAGCCCUUAAGAGAAGAGAGGCUAAAGUAAUGAAGAAGAAAGUUAAACCGACUCCUGUAAAGAAAGAGCCUGAAGUUGCUAAAGAAAAGGCACCUGAAUCAGCACCAAGAAUAGAAAAGCCAAAGCCAGCACCAAAGAUAGUGGCUAAAGUCAUCAAGGAGAAACCUAAACCAGUUCCUGAGAAGAAAGAAGCUGUAAUCAUCAAAAAGAAAGUUAAACUGGCUCCAGUAAAGAAAGCACCUGAGAUAAUCAAAGAAAAGCCAAAGCCAGCACCAAAGAAAGAGGCUGAAGUCAUCAAAGAGAAAGCUAAACCAACUCCUGAAAAGAAAGUCAUCAAGGAGAAACCUAAACCAGUUCCUGAGAAGAAAGAAGCUGUAAUCAUCAAAAAGAAAGUUAAACUGGCUCCAGUAAAGAAAGCACCUGAGAUAGUCAAAGAAAAGCCAAAGCCAGCACCAAAGAAAGAGGCUGAAGUCAUCAAAGAGAAAGCUAAAGCAACUCCUGAAAAGAAAGAGACCGAAGUCAUCAAGGAGAAAGUUAAACCAGCCCCUGUAAAGAAAGUUAAAGUUCCAAAGGAAAAGACAAAACUUGUCCUUGAAGCAAAGGAACCCAAAAUAACUAAGGAAAAGCCAAAGCCAGCACCAAAGAAAGAAGCUUUAGUCAUCAAAGAGAAAGCUAAACCAGCCCCUGUGAAGAAAGAGUCUGAAAUUAUCAAGGAAGAAAGAAAGAAAGCUAAACCAGCUCCUAAGAAGAAAGUGGCUGAAGUCACCAAGGAGAAAGCUAAGCAAGCUCCGAUGAAGAAAGAGCCUGAAGUCACUAAAGAAAAGUUAUUAGAACCAACUCCAAAAAAAGAGCUCCUGAACUCUAUCAGCCAAAAACUGUCUCUUCUGGAUUUACUGAGGAAGGACAUUGGUGAAAUGAAGAGUGAUCUGGAGUCCACUCAAAAUCAAAUUACGCUUUUACGAAUGGACAACAGAACAAUCAAAGAGCCAAAGACUGUUGGUGUAAAGGUAAAACCAGCAGUCUCCAAGGAAAAGGUCAAAACAGCAAAAAAAGACCAUGAUGCUCUGAUGAACGUUACAGCACAUAUUAAAGCAGAAGCUGAAAUCAUCAAAAAGAUAAAAGAUAAAGUUAAACUGGCUCCUUUAAAGAAAGAACGUGAUGCACUGAAAAACAUCACUAAACCAGCACCUGCAAAGAAAGAUAAAGAGGCUCCAAAAGCUAAGAUCAGACCACAGCCCAAAAAGAAAGAAAUCACCCAUGAGAAGGUCAAACAAGUAAAGGAACCUUUACAGAAAGAACCUAAGCAGGUCAAAGAAAAAGUCGAGCCAACUAAGAAGGAGGCUGUUGUGGGCAAGGAAGUAAAAGGAGAAGAACCUGAUGUCUCCAAAGAUAUUCCAGAGAUGGAGGAUGAGGAUGUUCCCUACUUCCAGUGUUUCUUUGUGGAUGAGGAUGAUACUCAGUAUCCAUUCUUCCCCUUUUCACCACCGCUGUGGUGA